AACGAACGCUGGCGGCAUGCCUAACACAUGCCAGUCGAACGAGACCUUCGGGUCUAGUGGCGCACGGGGGCGUAACGCGUGGGAACCUGCCCUUAGGUUCGGAAUAACUCCCCGAAAGGGGUGCUAAUACCGGAUAAUGUCUUCGGACCAAAGAUUUCUCGCCUUUGGAUGGGCCCGCGUUGGAUUAGCUAGUUGGUAGGGUAAAAGCCUACCAAGGCGACGAUCCAUAGCUGGUCUGAGAGGAUGAUCAGCCACACUGGGGCUGAGACACGGCCCAGACUGCUACGGGAGGCAGCAGUGGGGAAUAUUGGACAAUGGGCGAAAGCCUGAUCCAGCAAUGCCGCGUGAGUGAUGAAGGCCUUAGGGUUGUAAAGCUCUUUUACCCGGGAUGAUAAUGACAGUACCGGGAGAAUAAGCUCCGGCUAACUCCGUG
rnacentral:rRNA from 1 species